UGUAUAAUGUAGUCUUAGAUAGUUCAUAUCUGACAAUAUGCUGGAAAGCCUUUGUGCAGGGGUCUUCUUCAACAGAAAUGGCUGGGUCUAAACGACAAUAACAAAGACUAAUUUAAAAAUAUAAGAUAAUAAAACAAAAUACUGCGGUUUGCAAAUAGGCUGGUAAGCUGGUAGGCAGGUAGGCUGGCUGGCUUGUUGGCUUGUUAGUUGGUUGCUUAUUUGGAUGGCUGGAAAGAAAAAUAAAAGAAAAGAAAAAUAUAGUCCAAUUUAUAAGAAGGUAUGAUGACAUGUUUUAGAAAACAAGGUGACACAGAUAAUUGAGUGAUUAAACAAAUAUUCUCAAGCUGUAAUCCUCACUAACUUCACUGUUUGCUUCCUUAUGAAGAGCUUUCUCAUGUGACUCAGUCACACACACAACUUACGUCAGAAAUGAUGGCAAACAGGUUCAAUUCCUCUCUGAAGAGCAAAUUGUUACUACUGCUGCUGCUGCUGCUGUUGCUGUUGGUGUUGUUGUUGCUGUUGAUGUUGUCAGCACUGGAUUAAAAUAAAUGGUAAUCCAGCUAUGAAGAUCAUCAGAUUAAUAUAGAUUAUUGUAAUUUUUUUACGUCUCUGAACAUCUAACUUCAGUCAUGCUUUGUUCCAGAUGAGUUGGUAUAUAAUAACCUUGAACUGAAAACGAAACCAAACUUGUAUGUAUGUCCCUUCACAUCCCUUGCUCCAAACGAGUUUCUAUACAUCAAACAUAAGCAAUCUGUGGCUAUCGAGAUGCCUGUAGCUCUUUAUGACGUUUUGUAUGUCGUACUAUUGUAAUGGUACUAUGUCGUACUAUUGUAUGUCGUACUAUUGUAAACAGUUUUUAAAACUUAAACUGUACAAUAAAAUCUUAAAUACAUUAUUUA